GCUGUUCCUUUUUUCUGAUGAUAGUAUGUUCCGUUAAAGUAAAAAAUAUUUCUUUCUAGUAUAAGUUUCAAAGAUGCAAGGAUAAAUUCUUUUGUUAAUCUGUUUUCAAUGACGUUUUCCGUAUUUUCUAACCAAUAUUUUACGGCUGUAAUUCCUAAGUCAUGAGGAAUAUUUGUGUAUAGGCUGACAAUAUCAAAAGUAAUGAGUUCUGAAUUCGGGUUUACAGUUUUAGGUAGAUGAUUUAAAAAUUCCAAAUCGUCUCGUAUAAAACUUGGAACUUCACGACAUAAAGGUUUAAGCACAAUGUCUAUAAAAUGGCUUAAAUUCUGUGUAACACUGUUGGGUCCACCCACAAUUGGUCGAAAUUUUAAAUCAUUUGGUGUUAAAAGUUCGAUGUAUUCACUGUUUUGUUCUGAUAUCGCAUUUGAAAUUUCCUCACUUUUGUGAAUUUUUGGUAAACCAUAGAAAUAGCUUUCUGAAAAUUUAGAAUUUGAAAUGUAAUCUAUCUCUUCUUUAAACAAUUCCG
rnacentral:lncRNA from 1 species